rnacentral:tRNA from 1 species
GGAUUGUGGCUUAGAGGUAGAGCACUCGCCUCACUCGGGCGGAACCUGGGUUCAAACCUCAGCACCA